CCAAUAGCGUAUAUUAAAGUUGUUGCAGUUAAAAAGCUCGUAGUUGAAUUUCGGGGUUCAUCCGUUGGUCGGGCUUUUGGGUCUGUACUGGCGUGAUGGAUUCCUACCUUCUGAAUAACCAGCAUGUCAUUAAUUUGGUGCGCUGGGGAAGCAGGACUGUUACCUUGAAAAAAUUAGAGUGCUUAAAGCAGGCUAUUGCCUGAAUACAUUAGCAUGGAAUAAUGAAAUAGGACGCAUGGUUCUAUUUUGUUGGUUUCUAGGAUCACUGUAAUGAUUAAUAGGGAUAGUUGGGGGCAUUAGUAUUCAAUUGUCAGAGGUGAAAUUCUUGGAUUUAUUGAAGACUAACUUCUGCGAAAGCAUUUGCCAAGGAUGUUUUCAUUAAUCAAGAACGAAAGUUAGGGGAUCGAAGACGAUCAGAUACCGUCGUAGUCUUAACCAUAAACUAUGCCGACUAGGGAUCGGACGAUGUUAAUUUUUUAAUGACUCGUUCGGCGCCUUACG
rnacentral:rRNA from 1 species